rnacentral:tRNA from 1 species
GCGAGAGUGGCGGAACGGCAGACGCGCCAGGUUCAGGACCUGGUGUCCGCAAGGAUGUGGGGGUUCAAAUCCCCCCUCUCGCACCA